rnacentral:rRNA from 1 species
GACGAACGCUGGCGGCGUGCCUAAUACAUGCAAGUCGAACGAAGCUUUUUUAACUGGUGCUUGCACCGACUUAAACAACUGAGUGGCGAACGGGUGAGUAACACGUGGGUAACCUGCCCCAAGGCGGGGGAUAACAUUUGGAAACAGAUGCUAAUACCGCAUAACCACAGAAACCACAUGGUUUCUGUGUCAAAGAUGGUUUUGGUUAUAUCUUUGGGAUGGACCCGCGGCGUAUUAGCUAGUUGGUAAGGUAAUGGCUUACCAAGGCAAUGAUGCGUAGCCGAACUGGAAGGUGGAGCGGCCAGAUUGGGACUGAGACACGGACCAAACGUGUACGGGAGGCAGCAGUAGGGAAUCUUCCACAAUGGACGAAAGUCUGAUGGAGCAACGCCGCGUGAGUGAAGAAGGUUUUCGGAUCGUAAAACUCUGUUGUCAGAGAAGAACGUGUGCGAGAGUAACUGUUCGUGCAGUGACGGUAUCUGGCCAGAAAGCCACGGCUAACUACGUGCCAGCCGCCGCAGUAA